rnacentral:rRNA from 1 species
UACGGGGGGGGCAAGCGUUGUUCGGAAUUACUGGGCGUAAAGGGCUCGUAGGCGGCCAACUAAGUCAGACGUGAAAUCCCUCGGCUUAACCGGGGAACUGCGUCUGAUACUGGAUGGCUUGAGUUCGGGAGAGGGAUGCGGAAUUCCAGGUGUAGCGGUGAAAUGCGUAGAUAUCUGGAGGAACACCGGUGGCGAAGGCGGCAUCCUGGACCGAUACUGACGCUGAGGAGCGAAAGCCAGGGGAGCAAACGGGG